rnacentral:rRNA from 1 species
AGGACGAACGCUGGCGGCGUGCUUAACACAUGCAAGUCGAACGAUGAAGCCUUUCGGGGUGGAUUAGUGGCGAACGGGUGAGUAACACGUGAGCAACCUGCCCCUGGCUCUGGGAUAGCCUCCGGAAACGGGGAUUAAUACCGGACAUGACCCUUGACCGCAUGGUUGGGGGUGGAAAGUUUUUCGGCCAGGGUGGGCUCGCGGCCUAUCAGCUUGUUGGGGGGUGACGGCCCACCAAGGCGACGACGGGUAG